UUUUUGAGCGCCGUGUACCACAUAAAAUCAGUUCGAGGUCAGUAAGCACAACCUGAAUUCAUACAUGAGGCACAUUGUCGAUUUUUGAGAAAAUUAAAGGAUUUUAAGUUUACUUUAUUGUGCCUCUAUAACUGACCUCUAAUUUUCUACUUCUGAAUUCAGAUCAAACUGAGGGUAUUGUACUCUGUCCUAAAAAGAAUCAUGGGGUCUAACCAAAUACUGACUUUCGAUUUCAUUACAUUGCUCUUUAGUGACCGUGCAAGAAACUGUGGAGUAAUUUUUUAAACAGGAGCAUGCAGCAUAUACUUUAAACAAAUAUGCAGAACUGCCUUCAUUCAUCUGAAUGAAAAUUAGACACAUUGUGCUCAGAGGUACACCUGAGCAAGGUACCGUCCCUGCACACUGCUCCCCAGGCGCCCAGUAGCUGCCCACUGCUUGACUGAGUGAAUGGGUUAAAUGCAGAGAGGAAUUUCCCCACGGGGAUCAAUAAAGUAAGCACUAUUAUUAUUAUUAUUAUUAUUAUCCUGUCCAGGAUUGACGUUAUAAUGUAUAUAUGUCUAUUAUAAUUUAAUAUUAUAAGGUUGCUCUGAAAGGGACAUGAAACUCCUUCAGUUGAUCCAAAACGCUGCAGAAAGAGUUCUGACUGGGACUAGAAAGCGAGAGCACAUUUCUCUCACAUUAGCUUCUCUUCAUUGACUCCUGUUUAAAUUCAGAAUUGAAUUUAAAAUCCUUCCCUGCACAUCCAAAUCUGUAAACAUCAUGCUGUGUCUUAAAGACCUCAUAUUAUCCUAACAGAGCAUUUCUUAAGACUGCAGACCUCCUUAAGGUUCCUGGUAGAAUGGAAGGCAAAGUUUUAUUUAAAGUUUUAUUACUAUUUAAUGUCAUCAUGGUUUGGUAAAUCUUGGUUGGUGGGGUGGCUUCGACUUUCCCAGUUCCACUUGGCAUUCCACAUGAAAAUUCCAACUAGGAACUCAGAAAUACCGACUUCAACCGAAAUGCUCUAUUAAUCCCUACAAGACUGUAAUCAAAUGAUGGAGCAACGCCAUCAGCAGUUAAGAUGAGGGUUUUGUCUCUUAGACUACAUGAUAAGAGGCUAUGUGUGAGUCUACAGCUCUCUCAGUUCUCAUAAAUGAUCCUAGAGGAUGGCAUAGGAGCUUUAUGUUAAAGUAAGGAGUGCUUAUUUACCCUGAACAAAGAGGAUGGAAAGGAUCCAAGCAAAUGACAGAGGGACCCGCUGAGGCAAAAUCUGAAAACAUAACCAGGAUCAAAAAAUGCUGGCAAAAAAGAGCGCGCUUAUAAAGCAAAGCACAUGGCACGGAGACUGUCUGGCAUGGCAAACGGAAACAUCCUGUACUAGGAAACUGAAACUAAACCAAAAUCCUGCUUUCUUUCUGUUAGUGGUGUCUUUGUAUUUUGGAAUUCAGUUUUCAUUAUUGCUCAAGUGUUGUAUGGGACCGCACAUGUGAUCACAUCCAUCAGGCUAGACAAUUGUGAUUAAGUUGGUAAACUGACUAUUGUGAAGUGCCCAGUGGAGAGUAAUCUAUCAUUGCCUCUGCAAAUGUAGUCGAGUCAGCACAUCUCAUUAAUGAAAUUAUGAAAUGAAGACAUUUCUAAAUUUUAAGGGGAGCAUUCUGAGUAAGAAAAACACAGCAUGUAAACGCAAAGAAGACAGCAGUUAUGUUAUUUACUCUGAAAGGGUUUCCUCACAUUGCAGUCAGUUUGAUACUUGACCUCAGAAAAUCUGUAACGGUUGGCUGGGUUUGCCUCAAGGAGCCGUUAAUUACUGGUUAAACCACACCAGAAACUCUGCUGGCUGAAAGACAAAAAUACCUGAGCUCCUGGUACUACAGAAGUAACAGACCAUCGUCAGCUCUGCUUCUGAAACUGAAAUUUCUGAUAUUGGUCACAAUGGCAUGUGCAGUGGAAUGUCAAACAGGCGAGUGCUGAGUUUCUGUUUAAGUGUCUUGAGUGCUAAAGUAUCUAGUAACACACACUGAACAAUAUCCUGAUUUCUAAAACCUUUAUUAUACUUUCCACACCUGAGGUGUGAAGGCCUCAGUUUACCCACCGUGGGCUGGUCCAUUCAUCCUGGCUGUUGUGGUGGAGGUAGCUGGUGCAGUAUCCUCCUGAAGUUGGUACAACAUCUGUAUAAGCUAUGAGUCUCUGAGCUUCUUUACUGAUAUAUCAUGAAUUCAUAUGGAUUUCUGGCAUUUUCCUAAUGUGACAGUGUUUAACAGGCUGGUAGAAAUCUGAAUUUAAUGGCACACUUGAAAACAAAAAAAGUACAGACCAUAACGAAUGAAACUGCUGAAUGAUGGAGAAUGAUGGGUCAAACAGGUUGUUCACUGUUGGCUUAUAAAGACAUGGUGCACCAUUUUUCUCUUCUUCUCCUUUUUCCUUCCAGUUCCUAAUGCAUUUUAUUUCAUGCACUUACACCCGCAUGUUAAUACCAAGUACCCUGAACACGGGACCCUAAAUGAACACUGAUGACCUAACAGCACUGUAGCAAUCAAUAAAAACUACUCAAAGUUUCAGACAAAGAGAUGAGAACUCCUAAGUGGGGAGAAGAGGAACAUCUGUAAGACAGGAACCAAGUCCAAGAGACGUCCAGUUGGAAAUAUCAAAGAACUGACAAACCUCAGGCCCUUUGCUGUAAGCUCUUUUUUGUUUUACGCCUACUUUCUGUUGAGGAAACAAUCAGAAAUACUCAUAAUGGGAUCAAGAUAUGACCUCGCUGCUGACAUGGACAGUUACGAUGGUUUGAUGUGGCUUUUAGCUGGUGAGGUCGUUCAGUUAAGAUGCCGAUCACACGCUGCUCAAGAGCCGUUGAUGCAGGGUGCAAGUUAUUACGUUUUUGCUGUUUCAUAAACGUGUAAUCAGGAGAAGAAUGUAUAAAGAGGAAAGUUAGCUCAUCGUUUUGUUUUGUUUUUUUCACCACUUUUAAAAAAAUGUAAAUUGCAUUUAAGAACUUUAAAGGGAAUUCUUACCCGUUUAGUGCUUUUAUUUUGAAAAUCGAGCGUUUUCAUGUGUGAGUUGCAUCACUACAUACACUUCAAAGGAUUCCAGAGGCUUUGCAUAUUUAAUUUAAAAAGAAACUGUCAGGCAUUGCACUGAUUCUUGUAGACUUUCAAAUGUCCUUCAGCUUAAGCUGUCCUGAAAAUUGUCUCGCAGUGGUUUGAAACUUGCGUGAGAUGCCAAAGACAUAGUCAUGGCAAGUUGUUCAAUGUGAUAGGAUCAAAAUAUCUUCAGAAAAUAUGUGGCAGGAAGUGUGCUUCUGUGAAGAUGCAAGUAAUCCGAACACAGCUGCAGAUCUCUGCAGGCAAGUCCGUUAUGGGCUACUUCAGCUCAGCGAGUCUUGUAGACGAACCGGCUCAUCGGCACAUCGCGUGCCAGCGCUCGACAAAGUAGCUCAACGAUUCGACGUUUUCUAACACUGGUUUCCAAACAGAAAGGAGAAAUCCAAAUUGUCCAAAUUUGUGAACGCAUAAAAUUUGUGGAUGCUGUAAAUCUAGCUUUGGUUUAAAUGACACGCAGUAUGUGCUAAUGAAUUGGUGACUUUAGCCGAUCAGUUACUUUGCGACUCAGUUAACCCAGAUCUGUUACUCAGUCUGCUGCCUUGUUAUUCUGCGACCCAGAUACUGUUACUGAGUGACUCUGUCACUUUGUUACUCUGCCACUCAGAUAUUCAGUGACAUCUUUACCUUGUGACUGAGCACAUUAAGCUAUGGGAACUUGAUUUUUAGGGUGUGAACCAUGAAAUGUGAUGCCUGUUGCUGACAUCCAGGAUCUGUCGUGUUUUGCCCAUCUCUCUCUGCCCUUGCGUUCUGUCAUCUCUCUGCUGCUGGAGCUCUUUAUUAUUAUUUAUUAUAACCUCUUUAUUCAGUUUUACUUUUUGCUUGGCCUGAAUACAGUGACAGGUAUGUUCAUGCUUUCACCCCUGAGCUGCUGUGUAACCUGCCUGUUUUCAUGCUUGCUCUAAUAAAACCAGAUUGCACCACCCAUCUGCAGGAACAAGAAGUUGGGUAAUAUUACUGACAGCGCACCAAGAGUCCACCCUGCCUGCUGCUCAUUGGUUCUCCUGUGUUAGAUCUGUGGCUGCGGCUGCUGAUAUUCUUCGUAGUGUGUUUUCAGAGGAUGCUCUCAACACUUGUUCUAAGAAACUUUGACUGUGUGUGGGACUUUCCAACUCAACAAUUUUUCUUUUUUUCAAAAACAUCUUUUGCGGGUGACGUCAGUCUGCCAGAGUGAUGACGGCAGAGCGAGUGCUCCUGUGAUGUCAAAAUCAACCAGGAGAGUAAAAAUGAGAAGAUUGAAGGGAAAAAGGGAGAACAUGGACUCUGUGUUCCAGUCUUCUGCAUGCUAGGCUCUGCUGGAAGCGAAUGCAUGCUGCAGACGCCUAUGGGCUUCAAAUCAGCAAACAGCACUGGAAUGACGCACCCCUGGCUAAAAGGCAGAAGCGGAAGAAGAAAAGCAGAGAGGCUGUGAUGUAACUACAGCACUGGACUCAGCGCAGAUGGGAGCAGACGGACGGACGGCAGCGAGGAUGACAUCACUGUUACCCGUGGGAGCCUGGGCCUGUCAUUCUUGGUGUCACUUCCUGGGAGAGAAUAGAAGAGGAAGCCAGAGCGAGAGCCGACAACGAGCGCUCCCCUCACCUCCACAAGGAAGCCUUUUUCCCCCGAGAGCAUAAUGUGUGUCCGCUUGUGUCCCUCGCUCACUCCUGCAUUCAUCCCGCAGAGGGCUGGUGCUGGUUCAGAAUUUGUGUAAGCCCUGAUUGUUUUCAUUUUCUUUGGGCUCAAGUCUGAGCCUUUUCCAACAAAUCCUUUGAAGAGCUUAUUAUUUUACAUUUCAACGGUAGUUAAAAUAAGUCACAGUGGUGACUUUAUGGGUACGGAUGCAGUAAGCUGUGCCUCUGCAGGCUUUAUUUUGCUGCCCUGGGUCAGCAGUGUUUGGGGAAAAGCUCCGUUUGGAGGGAUAAAAAACGUGGAGGCCACAGUGACGUCACCUGAUGGUGUUGGACUCUGGGUCGGGGUGAGGCUCGAUCCCUAGCAUUUUGGCCACUGCCACACUUUGUUUCUAUGCUGGAGUUUUCCCAUAUUGGACAAAAGGGGCGAGUGAUACAUUAAAGGUAAUCCUAGCAAGGUUAGCAAGCUGCAUGUGUAGAUUGCAUGGGUCCAAUGGACGCACAUCAUUUCUAAUUAGUCCUUGCCCUGAAUGGUGUAAGCCUCACAUAUUUGUCAGGUGAUUCUGUUUAACUCCAAAAGGCUCCAACAGGAAAAGUCCAGUUUGACUCCAGUCUGCACAGAGCCCUCAGUUAACCCCUCAACAUCCACUCGUGUCACCAGAUCAACGAUUAUUCGUAUUGCUGUUUGUUGAUAUUGUGUUACUGUUGUAAAAUGCAGUGACGUGGCUGAAACUACAGCGAGUCAUCAGAAAGAUCGAUGAGCUUCUCUUCCUGUUGGAGUGUUCACAGACAAGAUAAUGGCUGAAAUAAGUUAGUAAGCUCUAUUUAAAUGCCAGCUCGUCAUGAACUUUGAUUUUCUUUUUUAAUCAUGAGGCUUUGUGAUGAUUCAUGUCUGUGUUAAGGUGCUAGCGUAGCUGAUUCAGAGCUGCUAAUGAGUAGAUGUGUUGUUCUACUUGUUUGUCUUCAUCCAACUGAGCAACUCAAACGUAACCAGCUUAGUGCAUACACAGCAUCUUUGUACUAUCCAUCACAUCUACUGUGCAGGCAUACAAAGCAGGCACACAUCCUGCUACCUGAUUUGUUUUACACAAAUCCUGAACUCAAAAUGAGCAGGACGCGCUGUGGUUUAGACGCUGGCAGGCUCUGGUGAGUCUGUGUUUAAAGGCAAAGAAAGGAUGGAAAGAUGACUGCAAUGUAAAAAUGAAAUUAAAGAUGUCCAGGUUUCGGUCCCCGGGACAAGUCACAGCUUUGUUGGAUUGUUUUGUACCGCCGCUGUUUCAUGAAAUUUAUUCCUGGCUGCCCUACAGUGGAUUUGCUUCUGACCUUUGACCUCUCUAACCAACACAAGUGUAUCAAAGCUGGGCCCUCCCUUUGAGGACCCGCAUGGACGUUAUAGAUGUAAUGUCGCCCUCUUGUGUGUGAAUAUAAAAUUGCAGGAUUAAUAUACGAUGUCUUUACAAAACACUGUCUGGUGAAUUUCAGCACUUCUCAGUGUGAGAUCGUAACAUCGGAUGUGGGCAGCUGUUAGAUGGCUCCGCCCUCCAAAGCCUCCACCUCUCUGCAGCACCGACAGCAUAAAGACUUUGUAACCUGGAGGCUCCGAUCGUGGGACACACCUCUGAUCAUCUGACACCCAUGUUUCAAACACCUGGGAGGGCCGCUGGGACAAUGCAUGUACUGUUAGAUUUGUUGUCAUGACGACCUUGCUGGUUAUGUAAGCACUGGGCUCUGGUUCCCACAAACAGUGGUGCACGCAGGUCUUUGUGCUGUGACACUAGAAACCACACACACAGUCACAGUUUGUACAUUCCUCCAGCUGCUCACAUGUCACCCUGCAGUGACUGCAACGAGACAUUUAACCCUCAGUGAUGAUCCAAACCUUAACCCUGUGCUAUCAGCAUGUGCGCUUAAGGUGAGGGCUGUGGCCGACUCGGGGCUGAUACUUUGUUGCAGUUUAACAUCAAGAAUUUGGGUGGCACAGUUUCUUUCAGUAAAUUUGUUUCAGUUCCCACCAAAACUGAAGUAAGCUUGCUGGUUUUCUUGGAUUUUUGCUGAUUUCUUGAGCUUGGCCACAAUUUCUCUGGUUGGCUGUUAGUUUCACAACUCCUCCAGUCUGCAUGUUGAGAUGUCAUGUGUGCCACAGGCACAGUACUUUGAGUAAUAAGUGCUAUAGUGAUGCAGUUGGUUAAACUAGCAGGUUCCUCUCUGUAACCUUGAUUGAAUCCAAAGAUUUCGUGACCCUAAAGCAGACUCACAUUUACCAGCUUCUCUGUUGCUCAGGUGCUUCUUCACAUGCUCUGUCUCUCUGGCAACAGCCUGGAAAUGCUGCUGCUCUGGACCAACAACAAUAAAUGUGUGUGUAGAGGUACCCAUGUGUCCGUCUGUACUGAUGGAGCUGAUGUGCCACAUAGAUUUGGCUCUGUAAAGUUAAAUGACGUUGAGCAUACUCAUGUACAUAUCCAUCCAUUCACACUGGUUUUCCUCUCUUACGUCAUGUGGUUCUGUUUUUCUUCUUCCCCUCUGUGUCUGUGGAAGGUGGCAGGUCGUGAGCGUAGACUGACGUGGACUAGAGUGAGUGCUCGUCAUUAUGCUUGUGAUGUCUGAGAGAGCACAAACGCCGUUCACAGUAGCCUCUAUGCAUUCCUCCUGUGGCAGGCGUCCCUGUCUUAUGCUGUCAGCCUCACUUUUUAUGUGACGUCUGUUCUGUUUGAAUUCAUCUUCAUUGCUGGAAGCAAGUAUUCAGGUGCCAGCUGCUCACGAUGCUGGACUGGCAUAGCAACAGCAGCAAAAAGAAGAGCUGUCACACAGUGCACAGAGCGCAGCAGGGCUGAGAUCACCGUGAUGAGCAGAUGUGUGUGUGUGUAUUAUAAUAGUGGUUUUUAGUAGGCUGGACUAACUGGUUUGUAUUUCCUUGCUGGAAUAAUAGCUGACCCUGGUUUGGCCUUUGGGAGCUAACUUGUGUUUAUCUGGAUGGACCUCGCAGGUGUGACACUGUCAUACUGCAGACUGUAUGCCGUGUCCACCAUGCAUGCAUGUCGAUGCAUGCAUGCAUGCAGUCACUCUCUCUCUCUUUCCUCUUUUCUCUCUUCUUCUCUCUCUGCAGGGCAAAGCCUGCCUCCUCUCUACGACUCACAUUAGACAAGUUGUCCAAAAAUGGUCCAACAGAGAAAAAGUGAAGGUUGAAGGAGAGAGAUCACAGAAAGUCGAUGACAAGCAGCUACAGGGUCACCUAGGCAACUGGAGCCUGGAAUGUCCGCUAGCAACCAAUCGUCAGCUUCAAAGCAAUGCACGACAGCUCGAUGACUUCCUGUGUGGAUGAAAAGUGUUAUAGCUCAUGUUCACAUGCAGUGAAUGCUGAUUCUGAUGGUUGUUUUAAAGUUUGAGGGGUUUUCCAAGUGAAUGUUUGCAGGUAUCCACACAGACUUCAGACAGGCCUGCCUUUAAGUCCUAAAUUUUAAAAUAGUAGACAACUUUCUGUGCUAGAGGUAUCAUAUAUGCAAUGAUAGCAAUAAUAUUUUAAAAUUUAAUAAUACAAAUAAAAAGCUGGUAGUUGUUUUUUUUGUACAUGGUUAUAGGAUUUUCAGUGUAGUUCCCUUGCUUCUGUACAUUUGAUAAUGAUACCAUUACAUUUCCUUUGUUUUGCUGAUAGUUGUGGAGUGAAAAUGUAAUAAUGUGACAGUAAAUAUGGAAUCUUUGCUGUGCAGAGCAUCCUCGGCUGGGGUCAAAUUCCUGUCUCAGUUAGUGUAAAGCACACUUUGGUUUAACAUUGAACUGUUUCACCAAAGGACAAAGAAGAAGUGUUGAAACCAAACUUUGGUCUAUAGAAUCUCUAAACUGCAGUUUUAGAGCAAAAUAAUGUGACACUGUUCUCCCACACUCACCAGCCUUUGGUUUAAAAUGUGUUGAAUCAAAUUUAAUCAUCGAGUUGUUUUGUCCAUGUGAAGCCGUCUGACACAGCACUGCACUCUGGAUCAACAUCUGACUUACUGAUCUUUUAAUCUUCUUUCUAUUAGAAGGUGAAUGAGUUUUUGGGGUUUUUUUCAUUUUCCUACAACAUAACGAGCCUUCUUUAAAUCACUGCUUACUUGUGACCCAAGAAAUGACUAAAUAUUAUGGUCAGUGCUUCUGAUCCGUCCUGAGAGGUAAGUGUUGGGACUUUCCUACAAUUGUAUUGGCUUUGCGUUAUAACAUGUCUGAAUAAAAUUGCUUACAUUCAAAAUGUAUAUAACUACUAGCUGUUAACCUUCAGUGGCAACAAACGUUGUGGUUAGCUUCCUGUUUGUGUGUAAAAACUCUGCUAUCAGCUGCAGUUAUCUCUCUUUGUUGGUGCAUGUAGUGGCGAAGCACAGAUCAGGGCGGAGAUCUGCAGUUCAUCUCACCGCUGCAGCUGUGGUGACCAAACGUCUUCUCCAAGAAGCUGGUUUCACAUGGUGGUUUAGAUGUGUGCUGCUCUUGUCUAGCACCAUUUGAAAUCAGUGUUCUUGGGGAGAGCAGGACAGCAGCUUCGGCAGUGAGUGAGUGUUAGGAGGACAGUACACGAGUGCCCCUUCUUCCUCUCCUCCUCUUCUUCUGUUGCCACUAAAAGAUAACUGAUUUCUUCUGGUGCUUAGAGCCUGCUGAAGCCUUCUAGCACCAUUUGAAAUCGGUUAUAAAACUGUGGAUCACUGCUUCUGUGGGUCGUCAAAGAAAGAAGACAGCAACGCAGAAAGCUUAGAGGACGCUCGUGGAUUACACCCUCAUUAAUAUAAUCAGUCUGUCACUAAUAAAUCAGCUUUGCCUUUGCCAAUUCUUAAACUGAGCUGUGGUGUUUGACCUUUCUACAACUGCUCAACGUUGCAGUUCUCACAAGCUACCACUAGAGGGUGCUGGAAACCAAGAUUUCUUGGAUUACCCUUUGGAUGGAUUGGCUGGACCUGAGUCGGAUACAUUAUUGGGAAAGUAAACACAUGGAUGAAUACAUUUUUUAAAAUUCAGUUUUACGUAUUUUUCAAAGCUUUAGAGGUAAGUGCUAAGUACAGUAUUGUUUACUGUGAUCAGGACUAUAAUCACCAAUGCUGAUGUUUAUAUGUACUACUGUAAAUAAAGUUUGAGCAACAAUGCAAAAGUAAUAAAGUUAAAAAACAAAA